AGCAGCCGCGGUAAUUCCAGCUCCAAUAGCGUAUAUUAAAGUUGCUGCAGUUAAAAAGCUCGUAGUUGAAUUUCGGGACCAUCAUGUUGGUCGUGCCUCGGUACGUACUGGCAUUGUUGGUUUCUCCCUUCUGACGAACCAUGAUGUCAUUUAUUUGGUGUCGUGGGAAAUCAGGACUGUUACUUUGAAAAAAGUUAGAGUGUUUAAAGCAGGCUCACGCUUGAAUACAUUAGCAUGGAAUAAUGAAAUAGGACGUUUGAUUCUAUUUUGUUGGUUUCUAGGAUCGACGUAAUGAUUAAUAGGGAUAGUUGGGGGCAUUAGUAUUCAAUUGUCAGAGGUGAAAUUCUUGGAUUUAUUGAAGGCUAACUACUGCGAAAGCAUUUGCCAAGGAUGUUUUCAUUAAUCAAGAACGAAAGUUAGGGGAUCGAAGACGAUCAGAUACCGUCGUAGUCUUAACCAUAAACUAUGCCGACUAGGGAUCGGAUGAUGUUAAUUUUUUAAUGACUCAUUCGGCGCCUUA
rnacentral:misc_RNA from 1 species